rnacentral:rRNA from 1 species
AUUGAACGCUGGCGGCAGGCCUAACACAUGCAAGUCGAGCGGAGCGGCGGACGGGUGCGUAAUACCUAGGCAUCUGCCUGGUAGUGGUGGGUAACGUCCGGAAACGGGCGCUAAUACCUCAUACUAGCAGUUGAGACUAGGUCGGUUUAGCUAGUUGGGGGGUGAAAGUCCUACCAAGGCGACGAUCCGUAACUGGUCUGAGAGGAUGAGCAGUCACACUGGAACGGAGACCAGGUCCAGACUCCUACGUGAGGCAGCGGUGGGGAAUAUUGGACAAUGGGCGAAAGCCUGAUCCAGCCAAGCCGCGUGUGUGAAGAAGGUCUUCGGGUUGUAAAGCACUUUAAGCGGGGAGGCGUUACCCGCAGAAGAAGCACCGGCUAACUCCGUGCCAGCAGCCGCGGUAAUUC